rnacentral:rRNA from 1 species
CGGGGGGCAGGCUUAACACGUGCAAGUCGAGGGGUAUAGUUCGUCGGAAGUAGAGACCGGCGCACGGGUGCGUGACGCGUGUGCAAUCUACCUUGUGCAGAGGGAUAGCCCGGAGAAAUGUGGAUUAGUACCUCAUAGUAGCUCGUUGUUGCAUGACAACGGGAUUAAAGUCACAACGGCGAAAGAUGAGCAUGCGUCCCAUUAGCUAGUUGGUGAGGUAACGGCUUACCAAGGCUACGAUGGGUAUGGGUCCUGAGAGGGAGAUCCCCCACACUGGUACUGAGACACGGACCACACUCCUACGGGAGGCACCAGUGAGGAAUAUUGGUCAAUGGGCGCAAGCCUGAACCAGUCAUGCCGCGUGCAGGAUGACGGUCCUAUGGAUUGUAAACUGCUUU